AGUUUGAUCACGGCUCAGGAUGAACGUUGGCGGCGUGCCUAAUACAUGCAAGUCGAACGAAGACUGUAGUAAUACUGUCUUAGUGGCGAACGGGUGAGUAACGCGUGGGUGACCUGCCCCGAAGUGUGGGAUAACAGUCCGAAAGGAUUGCUAAUACUGCAUAAUAUCCAAGAGAUUAGAUGCUUUGGAUUAAAGGAGUAAUUCGCUUCGGGAGGGGCCCGCGUCCCAUCAGCUAGUUGGUAAGGUAAUGGCUUACCAAGGCGAUGACGGGUAGGGGACCUGAGAGGGUGGCCCCCACAAUGGAACUGAAACACGGUCCAUACACCUACGGGUGGCAGCAGUAGGGAAUAUUAGUAAUGGGCGAAAGCCUGAACUAGCAACGCCGCGUGUGCGAAGAAGGCCUUCGGGUCGUAAGGCACUUUUUGAGAGGAUGAGGAAGGACGGUACUCUCAGAAUAAGUCUCGGCUAACUACGUG
rnacentral:rRNA from 1 species